rnacentral:rRNA from 1 species
GCCACUGCUAUUGGGGUUCGGCUAAGCCAUGCGAGUGGAGGGCGUCCCGCAAGGGAUGGCCCCGCAGACGGCUCAGUAACACGUCGUCAACCCACCUUAGGGUGGGGGACAACCUCGGGAAACUGAGGAUAAUCCCCCAUAGGCGGGGGAGGCUAGAAUGCGCCCCCGCUGAAAGCUCAGGCGCCCUAGGACGGGACGGCGGCCUAUCAGGUAGCCUGGUGGUGUGACG